GAUGAACGCUAGCGGCAGGCCUAAUACAUGCAAGUCGAACGAGAUUAAGAGGCUUGCUUCUUAUGAAAGUGGCGCACGGGUGCGUAACGCGUAUGCAACCUACCUUAAUCAGGGGGAUAGCCCGAAGAAAUUCGGAUUAAGACCGCAUAAAAACACAGGAUAGCAUUAUCCAAUGUUCAAAUAUUUAUAGGAUUAAGAUGGGCAUGCGUGUCAUUAGCUAGUUGGCGGGGUAACGGCCCACCAAGGCGACGAUGACUAGGGGAUCUGAGAGGAUGACCCCCCACACGGGUACUGAGACACGGACCAGACUCCUACGGGAGGCAGCAGUAAGGAAUAUUGGUCAAUGGAGGGAACUCUGAACCAGCCAUGCCGCGUGCAGGAAGACAGCCCUCUGGGUCGUAAACUGCUUUUAUUCGGGAAUAAACCUUUCUACGUGUAGGAAGCUGAAUGUACCGAAGGAAUAAGGAUCGGCUAACUCCGUG
rnacentral:rRNA from 1 species